rnacentral:rRNA from 1 species
CACGUAGGCACCAAGCGUUGUCCGGAUUUAUUGGGCGUAAAGAGCUCGUAGGCGGCUUGUCGCGUCGUUCGUGAAAACCUGCGGCUCAACUGCAGGCUUGCGGUCGAUACGGGCAGGCUGGAGUUCGGUAGGGGAGACUGGAAUUCCUGGUGUAGCGGUGAAAUGCGCAGAUAUCUGGAGGAACACCGGUGGCGAAGGCGGCAUCCUGGACCGACACUGACGCUGAGGAGCGAAAGCCAGGGGAGCAAAGCGGG